rnacentral:rRNA from 1 species
UACGGGGGGGGCAAGCGUUGUUCGGAAUUACUGGGCGUAAAGGGCUCGUAGGUGGCCAACUAAGUCAGACGUGAAAUCCCUCGGCUUAACCGGGGAACUGCGUCUGAUACUGGAUGGCUUGAGUUCGGGAGAGGGAUGCGGAAUUCCAGGUGUAGCGGUGAAAUGCGUAGAUAUUGGAAGGAACACCGGUGGCGAAGGCGACCAUCUGGGUCAUUACUGACGCUGAGAUGCGAAAGCGUGGGGAGCAAACAGG